UACGGAGGGUGCAAGCGUUGUCCGGAUUUAUUGGGUUUAAAGGGUGCGUAGGCGGCCCUGUAAGUCAGUGGUGAAAUACUGCAGCUUAACUGUAGCAUUGCCAUUGAUACUGUAGGGCUUGAGUACAGAUGAGGUAGGCGGAAUUGAUGGUGUAGCGGUGAAAUGCUUAGAUAUCGUCAAGAACACCGAUAGUGAAGACAGCUAACUAAGCUCAAACUGACGCUGAGGCACGAAAGUGUGGGGAUCAAACAGG
rnacentral:rRNA from 1 species